rnacentral:rRNA from 1 species
UACGGAGGGGGCGAGCGUUAUUCGGAAUUAUUGGGCGUAAAGGGCGCGUAGGCGGCCCGGUAAGUCAAAGGUGAAAUCCCUCGGCUCAACUGAGGAACUGCCUUUGAAACUGUCGGGCUUGAGGCCGGGAGGGGGUAGCGGAAUUCCCAGUGUAGCGGUGAAAUGCGUAGAUACUGGGAGGAACACCCGUGGCGAAGGCGGCUCUCUGGGACGGUACUGACGCUGAGACGCGAAAGCGUGGGGAGCGAACAGG